ensembl:lncRNA
AGUUUGCACAAAGUCCAGUGUAGUUUCUUGAGGGUAAUAUACACGGCUGUGACUAUAACCAAAGAUAAUUUUCUUGGGAGGUGAUAUGGUCGGCAUUUGAUUAUAGGGUAUUCUAGGUCGGGUGAACAAAAGGACUUGAGUUCCUGGACGUUAUCACAAUCACACCACGAGUAGUUAAUCAUGAAACAUACACCACCGCCUUUCUUCUUCCUAGAGAGUUCUUUAUUCCUGUCUGCGCGAUGUACUGAGAACCCAGCUGACUGUAUGGAAGGGGACAGUAUGUGAUUCCAUAAAACAGAGUAUGUUACACACCCACCGUUACACACCCUUGAUAAAGAUGAACAAAAAAAUGUAUAAAUGAAAUAAUACAAACACUGAGCUUUAUGCUCCCAAAAAUGUUAACAUUAUAUUAUUUUAUACUAAUACAAUUUAUCAGAGAGAAACAUUUUCUUUACCAAGUAAUUUAAAAAGAUCUAAAAAAAGAUUGGUGUCAAAAUUAUUGGCUCUCCUGUUUUUAAUACUUCAUGCACCCUCCCCUUGCGAGGACAACAGCACUUAACCUUUUUCUAUAAUGUUUUAUGAGAUUAGGCAACACAUUUCAAGGGAUCUUGGACCAUUUGUCUAUACGGAAUCCCUCCAGAUCCUUGAUAUUCUACUGUCUGUGUUCAUGGACUGCCCUCAAUUCAAACCACAGGUUUUCAAUGGGGUUCAAGUCCGGAGACUGAGAUGGCCAUUGCAAAAUGUUGAUUUCGUGGUCAAUUAACAAUUUCUUUGUUGAUCUUGAUGUGUGCUUGAGGUCAUCGUCUUGGUGGAAGAUCCACUUGCGAUCAAGUUUUUACCUUUUGAUCCAUCUUCCUCUGUGUGCGUGGGGACAAGAUACACUUGCAUCCUCUACCAGGCAUGUUUACCACUGUUCCAGUAGUUUUAAACGUCUUUAUUGUUGCCCUAAUAGUGGUGUUUUUUUUGUACCCAUUGCCUGAUUUAUGAAAGUCAACAACCAUUUGUCUCUUCAUUUGUGAGUUCUUUGCCUAGUGAUGGAUAACAAAGGGAUUUUACAUGCGAGUUACCUCGAUUUUAUACCACAGUGAAACAGGAACCCAUGGAAGGCCACAGUACAGUUCCAGUACAAUGAGAUUAACUAUAAAAAAAGUUUCAUGUUAAUGGCUCGUACCACCGAUUCAGUGCCUUUGUAAUUCGAUACAAUUUUGACUUCACCUCAUUUUAACAUUCUGUCAUAAAGAGAACAUGUUCAACUUAAUAAAUAACACGUUCUGCCAUCUCAAGAAGUUAAAUAAAAAAAUACUAAAGUAACAGGGUUGACCAUAACAGGGUUGACGAUUUCCUUUUAAAUCAGCCAUAAAUCCCCUCGUGACAGGGGAAAUGGAGGCUUGUUGUGUGCAACAGGGAGAGAGGCAACUGAAUGCAAGCUUCACAAAACAUUUAAUUAAUCAAAUAUGUAUAGCCUGUCUAUCUAUGGGUAACAGGGUUGAUGUGUUACGCUCGACCCACUCAGUUUUCCACCCAAAAAUUGCCAAAAAGAGUAAAACCACCUCACCUGCAUUUACACUUUGAUUUGACUUUUAGAUGUGCAAUGUUUUAGAUGUGCAAUGUAUCUUGCAAAAAAGUUAAAUGUUUUAUUUUAGGAUUAAGUGUGUUGAAUUCUUCCUAGAAGUGACAGAGGUUUGACGGAGGGACAUGUCAAAAAGCUGCAUUUUUGGCAUUUUAGCAAACCUUUAUUCAUAUAAAAAAAAUCUGAUUUAUUGAAUUCUCCAUGUGGUUUAUUUUAAAAGACACAUUUUCUACAUAAAAUAUCAAAGGGAUGUAAAAUACACUCAUUUCAGUGAAUGACCCAAAUGCAGAUUAUUAUUUUUUGAAUGUUAUUUAUAAGAAUAUUUGGGGGUGCCAAUCAUUUUAACACCUGUCUUUUAUUUAUUUUUUUCUUCUUGUUAAACAACAUCUCUUUCUAGCAAUUAUGUUAGUAUGAAAUAAUAUAAUUUCCCAUUUCUUUCCCAAUAAAAUGCGGCAUUUGUAAAAAAAAAUUGCUAAUCUUUAUCAAUGGUGCCAAUAGUUUUGGAGGUGACCGUAACAUGCAUUGUAUUUAAUCAAAAUCCCUCUUUCGUUGCUCUUUAUUAUUUUCUUCAUUCUUUUUUUUAGAUCUUGACGGGCUGCAUUGGUGCCGUGGUCCAGAUCCCAUUGAUUGGAUCAACAGAGGUUGCUAGACAUCCACCAAACGGUUAUGAAGAAUUCCUUCACCAGAACAGCAGGGGG